rnacentral:rRNA from 1 species
UGGGGAAUAUUGCACAAUGGGCGCAAGCCUGAUGCAGCAACGCCGCGUGAGGGACGACGGCCUUCGGGUUGUAAACCUCUUUUGGCAGGGAAGAAGCGAGAGUGACGGUACCUGCAGAAAAAGCAUCGGCUAACUACGUGCCAGCAGCCGCGGUGAUACGUAGGGUGCAAGCGUUGUCCGGAUUUACUGGGUGUAAAGGGCGCGCAGGCGGGAUAAAAAGUCAGUGGUGAAAUCCUACAGCUUAACUGUAGAACUGCCUUUGAUACUUUUAUUCUUGAGUUCGGGAGAGGGAGACGGAAUUCCAGGUGUAGUGGUGAAAUACGUAGAUAUCUGGAAGAACACCAGUUGCGAAGGCGGUCUCUUGGUCCGACACUGACGCUGAGGCGCGAAAGCGUGGGGAGCAAACA